rnacentral:rRNA from 1 species
UACGUAGGGUGCAAGCGUUGUCCGGAAUUAUUGGGCGUAAAGAGCUCGUAGGCGGCUCGUCACGUCGGCUGUGAAAACCCGGGGCUCAACCCCGGGCCUGCAGCCGAUACGGGCAGACUAGAGUUCGGCAGGGGAGACUGGAAUUCCUGGUGUAGCGGUGAAAUGCGCAGAUAUCAGGAGGAACACCGGUGGCGAAGGCGGGUCUCUGGGCAAUAACUGACGCUGAGGAGCGAAAGCUAGGGGAGCAAACGGG